AGAGCGAACGCUGGCGGCAGGCCUAAUACAUGCAAGUCGAACGGAUCCUUCGGGAUUAGUGGCGGACGGGUGAGUAACACGUGGGAACGUGCCCUUUGGUUCGGAACAACUCAGGGAAACUUGAGCUAAUACCGGAUGUGCCCUUCGGGGAAGGAUUAUCGCCAUUGGAGCGGCCCGCGUCUGAUUAGCUAGUUGGUGAGGUAAAGGCUCACCAAGGCUACGAUCAGUAGCUGGUCUGAGAGGAUGAUCAGCCACACUGGGACUGAGACACGGCCCAGACUCCUACGGGAGGCAGCAGUAGGGAAUCUUGCGCAAUGGGGCGAAAGCCUGACGCAGCCAUGCCGCGUGAAUGAUGAAGGUCUUAGGAUUGUAAAUUCUUUCAGCGGGACGAUAAUGACGGUACCCGCAGAAGAGCCCCGGCUAACUUCGCGCCAGCAGCCGC
rnacentral:rRNA from 1 species